rnacentral:rRNA from 1 species
GGUUAAGUGAAUAAGGGCGCACGGUGGAUGCCUUGGCACUAGGAGCUGAUGAAGGACGGGACUAACACCGAUAUGCUUUGGGGAGCUGUAAGUAAGCUAUGAUCCAGAGAUUUCCGAAUGGGGGAACCCAAUAUCUUUUAUAGGAUAUUACUUUUCAGUGAAUACAUAGCUGAUUAGAGGUAGACGCAGAGAACUGAAACAUCUUAGUACCUGCAGGAAGAGAAAGAAAAUUCGAUUCCCUGAGUAGCGGCGAGCGAAACGGGAAGAGCCCAAACCAACAAGCUUGCUUGUUGGGGUUGUAGGACUCCAAUAUGGUAGUCUGUUAGUAUAGUUGAAGGAUUUGGAAAAUUCCGCUAAAGAGGGUGAAAGCCCCGUAGACGAAAUGCUAACAACACCUAGGAGGAUCCUGAGUACGGCGGAACACGAGAAAUUCCGUCGGAAUCCGCGGGGACCAUCCCGCAAGGC